UACGUAGGGGGCAAGCGUUGCUCGGAAUCACUGGGCGUAAAGCGCACGUAGGCGGCUCUUUAAGUCAGGGGUGAAAUCCUGGAGCUCAACUCCAGAACUGCCUUUGAUACUGAGGGGCUUGAGUCCGGGAGAGGUGAGUGGAACUGCGAGUGUAGAGGUGAAAUUCGUAGAUAUUCGCAAGAACACCAGUGGCGAAGGCGGCUCACUGGCCCGGUACUGACGCUGAGGUGCGAAAGCGUGGGGAGCAAACAGG
rnacentral:rRNA from 1 species